CGGGCUUUUGCUGCCGCUGCGCGAGGCCCUGUGGGAGGCCCGUGGAGCGCGGGCCGGCGCGGUGGCCGCUGGUGAACGUGGCCGUCUCCCUCCGGCCUCGCUGGGACUCAGCAGGGGGAGCCGUGGUCCAGGAAAGAGUUGGGGGGCCGGGCUCGGCGGCUGGGCCCCAGACCCCCCCUGGCGGCGGCCGUGAGAGUGUAAACCGGGAGUGGAGUAGCCUCCAGCAGUGAGACCUCUGGACAGCUGUUUUUCCUUCCCAUCAGCAAAGAAUCCCGUGGUCCAUCACUCCCAUGAGCUCGCUGGCAAAACAGGUUACAGUGGACGUUUGUACUUCCUGUUUCCAUUUUCUAAAGAACAAGGAGGAUUUGGAGCAGAUGAAAACUCUUCCCUCAUCCCCAAGACUGGAUUGGAUGUCUCCCCAAGGCUUCCCUUUCAUCUUGGAUCCAUCCAGAGCCCUUUGACAUCAUGGCCUGAUUUUGACUUUUUAUUGAACAAAACGAUGAACUCUUUGAGAAAGACAUCACUGCACAUCGCAUGGCAAGGCGAUACCAUUUCACACAUCCCUGAGCAGUGACGUGGCAGAUGCACUGGAAAUGCCAAGGACUGUGGUGAUUAUAUUACUAGAGUGAACAGGUGUUUCAGUAACCAGGCCCUUCCUUGUUUUCUACGUAAUACAUAAACAGUACAAAAUUUGGAAGAUUCAAAUGAGUGCCAAGAAAAAAGACGAUCUCCUACCAUGUCCCCUUGCACCCUCUGUCUCCUUCUCUGGAGGGGAAGCUCAGACAAUUCCUGCGGAGUCUUGAAGAGAUGCAGCAGCACGUACAGGUACCCCCACUUUCUGAGAAUUUGUGUUAUGCUGCUUUGCUUUCACUGGAGACCUAUGUGAGUUCUUUUUUUUGGCAACAGAAGGAAAUCUGAAGAAGAUUUUCACUUUUAGGGAAAAAGGUGAAAAGCACAAAGAGCGUUCAGCAUUGGUUUUGAAGUGCUCCAUGACAGGGGCAGCCCGCUCCCCAAGGGAGAGCCCCCCAAGCUCCUUCCCCAAACCACACUCAGCCUCUCAGCCCCAAGUCACCGGAGCCCUGGACUCUGGGAGCAUUUGAGCUUUAUCUCCACUUAUUCUGAGCAUCGCUUAGUAAGACGUGUCCUGAAGAAUCAGAAAAGCCUAAGAGAGGUGAUUUUGGGGGUCUAGGAACACUUAAUGACUGUUCCAUGUAAUUGAAUGGUGAUUGCUCUCUCCCUUUACACCGCUUCAGCUUGGGGAAGGUUUCAUAGGAGCGCACUCCUUCCAGAGAGCGGGGGAACCUGUUUAGGCAUAAAUAAUACAUAUCUCCUUUUAAAAAACACAUGAAUGGUUAAAGAAUCUCCGCAGCGCCCUUCAGCUGUGUGUGCUUAAUGUAUCCCAAAGACACUCAGGACUGCCUUGUUCUUUAGUUUCAGGUUAUCAUGGGCUGAUAUACCACCUUUUCCUUAAUCAAACUUAUGCUAAUUUAUUUCUUCCCCUUCACUGUAGUGUAACUUUACAGUGACUGUCCUUAAAUAUAUUUUUUUGUGUAUACAUGACAAUAUCUGUAAGAUAAACCCCUGGAAACUGAAUAACUUUCCCAGAGUAUAAAUGUAUUUUAAAUUUUGAUAGCUUUCGGCACCUGCCCCCACAGAAAAUCAAUGUAUACAUGAUAUAAAUAUAAAUAUUUGCAUCAAAAAAGCAUGAGAAUAUCUAUUUUCUCACAUUCUAUCAACACAAAUAAUUAUCAAAGUUUUGCUUUGCAAAUUUGGCAGCCAAAAGAAAAAUACUACUUUAGUUUUUGUUAUGGAUGAGAAGGAUCUUAUAAGGAUCUUUUUAUAAAUUCAAUAGCUGUUUGUUUUCUUUGACCUAUCAUCAUCUUUUUACAUUUUUUAACUUUUUUUUAAACAGUUGUAAUUGUUAUUUGAUACGAGUUGAUAGGUUUCCUUACAGGAGCUCUUCAUAUAAUAAAGAAAAAAGUCAUUUUUCUUCUACUUCAUUACAAAUAUUUUCCUAUCAUUUCAUCUGCUUGGACUCAUUUAUGGUAGCCACUGCAGAAUAUUUUUCUAAAUUUUGUAAAUUAAAUUUAGC